rnacentral:rRNA from 1 species
GUGCCAGCAGCCGCGGUAAUACGAAGACCCCGAGCGUUAUCCGGAUUUAUUGGGCGUAAAGAGAGAGCAGGAGGUUUGGUGCGUCUGUUGUUAAAUCCCACCGCUCAACGGUGGAACUGCAGUGGAUACGAUCAAACUAGAGGAUACUAGAGGUUACUGGAACACACAGUGUAGGGGUGAAAUCCGUUGAUAUUGUGUGGAACACCAAAGGCGAAGGCAUGUAACUGGAGUAUUCCUGACUCUGAGUCUCGAAAGCGUGGGGAGCAAAAAGGAUUAGAAACCCUGGUAGUCC